AUUGAACGCUGGCGGCAGGCCUAACACAUGCAAGUCGAACGAGUGGCGGACGGGUGAGUAAUGUCUGGGAAACUGCCUGAUGGAGGGGGAUAACUACUGGAAACGGUAGCUAAUACCGCAUACCAUCGGAUGUGCCCAGAUGGGAUUAGCUAGUAGGUGGGGUAAAGGCUCACCUAGGCGACGAUCCCUAGCUGGUCUGAGAUGAUGAACGUCCACACUGGAACUUAGACACGGUCCAGCCUCCUACGGGAGGCAGCAGUGGUGAAUAUUGCACAAUGGGCGCAAGCCUGAUGCAGCCAUGCCUCGUGUAUGAAGAAGGCCUUCGGGUUGUAACGUACUUUCAGCGGGGAGGCGUUACCCGCCGAAGAAGCACCGGCUAACUCCGUGCCAGCCGCCGCGGUAAUAC
rnacentral:rRNA from 1 species